GGCAGGGCUAAAAUGGGUUCUGAGGGUCCCCAAGACCAGCCCCUCUACCCUCCCAGCUGCUUCCUCCAGGGCUCCGCACUUCCUCUCAACUCUCAGCCUCCCAGGUUAUUAAUAGCAUCAGGGCACAGAAGCCAGUGGAGCUACAGACCAGCAAGGAUGAUGGGAAACUGAGCGGUUAAAUCCGGAAGGGCCAUCAACACCAUCAUGGGCACUAAGUUCCACUUAGGAGCGCUCAUAGCAGCCUCAGAAAUCCCCGUUGGGUAUAUGUCCUCUCUCCUGGGAGGUCUCAGAGCAACCUUAUUAAUGGGGAUGGGAAGGGGCUGUCUGGUCUGGUGGCUUUGUGAUGUCAUGAGAAGGAGGUAGGGACCCACCAAGAGCAUAAGUCUCUCUAGCUGUGGUGUAUAAGAGGACCAGAUCUAGGAUCAGACCACACACUGGUGGCUCCUCCGUGAGCUCAAAGUCCCCGCCCCAAGGGCAGGGAGGCUGCAGAGGAAGUCAGGCUACCAGAGACUGCAAGCCAGAUGGGGACCCUGGAAGCCACAAUGUCUCUCCAACCUUGUUCUACAGAGAAGGAAGACCCAGGGGGACCAACCCCUCUUGGCCAACCACGAGAGCUGCAGAUACAGAGCAAGGAAUAUAACCUUAAAUAAAAACAAAACAAAACAAAACAGAAGUUUACGCUACCUGCCUCGCAAGUGCAAGGACCUGAGUUCAAUCUCUGGUACCAAAGAACAAAAACAAAAAACCCCAGACAUUUAAAGACCAGAAAUAGCCAGCCUGCUGGUCCACCAUGGAAAGUGGGGACCCCUGGAAAUAAACAACUCCCUCUAUCGGACGUGACAAAGACGAGCCUCACAGACAACAACGAGCCAGAUGAAAACGAGCAUUUCCACUGUACAGCUGAGCAAAUGUCACCUGGGUGUGGCAGGUCCUGCUGAUGGCCCACCCAAGAGCCUUUCCCCAUCUUCCUGGCAGCAGAACCUAGUUUUGUACAAGAGGCGGUAUGCUCGGUCCCACGCAUGAUCACGGUUCUUCCAAUCCCACCCUCUUGGCCAGGGAGUAGUCUAGGGGUGGAGUAGCCAGUCUUGUCCAAAGAGCUAUAACAGACUUCUGCUGAGUGUUCCUAGGAAGGACUUUCGUCCUUAAUAAAAGAGAGAAUAAUGAAUAA
rnacentral:lncRNA from 1 species